rnacentral:rRNA from 1 species
GACGAACGCUGGCGGCAUGCCUAACACAUGCAAGUCGAACGGUAAGGCUUCCUUCGGGAAGUACACGAGUGGCGAACGGGUGAGUAACACGUGGGUAACCUACCCUUGACUGGGGGACAACCGAGGGAAACUUCGGCUAAUACCGCAUAACGUGCAUUGCCUCAAGGUGGUGUACCAAAGCUCCGGCGGUUAAGGAUGGGCCCGCGGCAGAUUAGCUUGUUGGUGAGGUAACGGCUUACCAAGGCGACGAUCUGUAGCUGGUCUGAGAGGACGAUCAGCCACACUGGAACUGAGACACGGUCCAGACUCCUACGGGAGGCAGCAGUGGGGAAUCUUGCGCAAUGGGCGAAAGCCUGACGCAGCGACGCCGCGUGCGGGAUGAAGGCCUUCGGGUCGUAAACCGCUGUUAGGAGGAGCGAAGGCUUAGUGGGUGAACAAUCCAUGGAGCUUGACGGUACCUCCAAAGAAAGCCACGGCUAACUCCGUGCCAGCCGCCGCCGUAA